rnacentral:rRNA from 1 species
CAGUCGAACGAUGACGGUGGUGCUUGCACCACCUGAUUAGUGGCGAACGGGUGAGUAACACGUGAGUAACCUGCCCCCCACUUCGGGAUAACCUCGGGAAAUCGUGGCUAAUACCGGAUACGAGCACUCAUCGCAUGGUGGGUGCUGGAAAGAUUUAUCGGUGGGGGAUGGACUCGCGGCCUAUCAGUUUGUUGGUGAGGUGAUGGCUCACCAAGACGAUGACGGGUAGCCGGCCUGAGAGGGCGACCGGCCACACUGGGACUGAGACACGGCCCAGACUCCUACGGGAGGCAGCAGUGGGGAAUAUUGCACAAUGGGCGAAAGCCUGAUGCAGCGACGCCGCGUGGGGGAUGACGGCCUUCGGGUUGUAAACCCCUUUCAGUAGGGAAGAAGCGAGAGUGACGGUACCUGCAGAAGAAGCGCCGGCUAACUACGUGCCAGC